rnacentral:miRNA from 1 species
GAGGUGGGAGGAUUGCUUGAUUCCAGGAGUUUGAGGUUACAGUGAGCUGUGAUCAUACCACUGCACUCCAGCCUGGGCAACAGCAAGACCCUGUCUC